ensembl:lncRNA
CAUUUUAUUUCUGUAUACUAGCAUGUAUGCAAAAUAACUGGAAUUUAAAAUGGAAAAAAACGCCAUUUAUGACACCAUAAAACUAUUUAAAAAUAGAUAUGUAUACUGAAACCAGUAAACACUGCUGAGAAAAUUAAAGAUUCAGAUAAAUGAAGAGACAUAUUAUAUUCACAGAUGAAAAAUCUUAAAAUUAUAGAUUAUACACAAUCUUAAAUUUUCAGCAGGGUUUUUGGGGUAGAAAUUGAUAAGCUUAUUCAAAUUCACAUCAAAAUGCAAAGGACCUAGAAUUGCCAAAACAAAUUUUAAAAAGAACAAGCUGGUACUACCUGAUUCCUACGCUUAUAUAGCUACACUAACUAAGACAAUAGUACUAGCGUAAGGAAUAACAUGCAGAUUAACUUAACAGAACUAAGUCCAGAAGUAGACCCUAAUGGUCAACUGAUUUUCUGACAAAGAAGUGAAUAUAAUAUGAGAAAAUUAUAGCAUCUUAACUGAAUGGUACUGUAGCAAUUGAAUGUUCAUUUGGAAAACAAUGACCCAUAAUCUUUAACUCACAGCUUAAACAGAAAUUAAUUUGAAAUGGAUCAUAGACCUAAUGAAAAGUGAAAGUCUCUCAGUUGUGUCCGACUCUGCGACCCUAUGGACUAUAUAGUCUAUGGAAUUUUCCAGGCCAGAAUACUGGAAUGGGUAGCCUUUUGCUUCUCCAGGGGAUCAUCCCAACCCAGGGAUCGAACUCAGGUAUCCCGCAUUGCGGGCAGAUUCUUUACCAGCUGAGCCACAAGGGAAGCCCAAGAAUACUGGAGUGGGUAGCCUAUCCCUUCUCCAGCAGAUCUUCCCAACCCAGGAAUUGAACCGGGGUAUCCUGCAUUGCAGGCGGAUUCUUUACCAACUGAGCUAUGAGGGAAGACCUUAUAGUAAAGCUAAAACUAGGUAACACAUAUAUCUGCAAAAAGCACUUGCAUCUAGAACACAGAAUUUUUUCAACUUGACCUAGUAAGAAAGUAAAUAGAUACAUCACCAAAAAGAUACAUACAAAUGGCCAACUGCACAGGAAAAAAUGUCAUGAAGGAAAUGCAAAUUAAAACCACAAUAAGAUACACCCAUCAGAAUGGCUAAAAUUGAAAAGGCUGACAAUACCAAGUACUGGUGAGGAUGUGGAGCAAAUGGAACUCUCAUGCAUCAUUAACAGGCAUGUAAAAUCGUACCACUUGGAAAAUAGUUUAGUGGUUUCUUACAGAGUAAACUUACACUUUCCAGAAAUCCCAUUCCUAUUUACUGACACCUAAGAGAAACAAAAAUAUAUCCACAGAAAGACUUGUAUCUGAAUAUUGUUAUUUAUUCAUAACAGCCCCAAAUUAGAAACAAUUCAACCCAAAUUAUCUAUCAAUAGGUGAAUAAUGACAUAGUAACAUAAUAAAUGACAUAAGUGACAUCCAUAUUAUGAAAUAUUAAGCAAUAAAAAAUGAACUAUGGACACAGGCAACAACAUGGCUUUAUUUCAAAAUAUGUGAAGUAUAAGAGUAUGUUCUGUUUUGACUCCAUUUAUAUGAAACUCUAGGAAACACAGAUCUAAACAGCUCAGUGAUGGAUGUGACCAGGGCAUGUGGCCUGACUGGGAAGUGGCAAAGGCAACAUUUUGGGGUAAUGGCAAUGCCCUCUAUCUUGCCUUUGGUGGUGGUUAUGUGGGUAUAUAAAUUCGCCAACAUUUACCAAACGAUAUAUUUAAUAUGUGUGCUCUUUGCUGUGUGAAAUUUAGCCCUUAAUAAAGUUGACUUAAAAAAAUACCAAUAGUGAAGUCUCUGUUCAAGCAACAUUAUCACAGACUUAGUUGCAAUCUAUGUUUCAAAUCACUUAAUUUUCUAAUCUGCAAAAUGAGAACAAUUCUGGUCUGGCUCUGUUUGGGGAAAUAUUACACCGUUGUGUUCCUCAUUAUUUGUGGAUUCCGUGUUUUUCCAAAAUCACCUAAUAACUAAAUUUUACUUCUAAUUCCAAAAACAGUACCUGUGGUGUGCUUUUGAUGUUGAAAAUGGCUCCCAGGUGGAGCGCUGAAGUGCGAUCUACUGUCCCUGAGGGUAAGAAGGAUGGGAUGCACGGAUCAUCCAGAGAAAAUGCAUGUGCUGAGAUCAGCUUCAUUUGGUGAGGAGGUCACAGGGCUGUCGACUGUGAGUUCCAUGUUAAUGAAUCGACAAUAUAUAUUAAAUAAGGUGUCUUUAAACAAACAUGUAUAAUAUAAAGUUAUUUACUGAGCCAGUGAAGAAAACAUGACUAGAGGCUCACAGAAACCUAACCUGUAUUUCCUCUAGGAGCAGUGACUGUGUAUCUACUAGCUCUGUUGGUAACUUCAUGAAACAAUUACUAUGAAUAACAAAAACCCACUGUAUAUAUAUUUCUAGUCUUUCUUUCUCAGUGAAAAUGCUUUGAGUUUUCACCGCCUCAAUUACCGCUGUCUGGCUUUUCUCCAAAACACAAGUCAAUUUCAUUGGCUAUGUGGUCUGACUGUAGGACAUGGCAGGUCUCUUCUCCAUUUGAUCUGGAGAGUUCAGCUGUGUGGCGAUAUUCUUGGCUCUCUUUAAUCUUCAAAACUUCCACAGCUUUUUCACAAACUACUGUCAAGCUGUGCCCACUGAUUUCUUCCACCUUUUGUACCUGUUAUUUUCUUUAGAAAAUGGUUCUUUCUUUCCUCAAUACUGACAAAUACAGAAUUUCAUUUUUGGAGCCCAUCAUCCUUCUUGUGAGCGGCGCUGUUUCCAAAUCUCUCCCCACGGCAUCCAAAGUGUCUGCUUUACC